rnacentral:lncRNA from 1 species
UUUACAACAUCUUUCUCAUCCGAUUACAUACUGAAGAAUGCUGUUUGGUAUUAACGUCCGAAAAGCAUUACAUCUCCUAGAAUUUAAAAUCAUGAAAUACGAAUUGAUGUGAAACAAGUGGCAGAAAAUUAUUAGCUUACAUGAAUAUAAGAUUUGAUCAGUGGUGCCUCCUCACCAAGUUAAUCGUGAUUUGAAUAUCAUGCCGUUUAAUUCUUCUCUGAAAAUUCAAUCUCCACAAGAAACCGUGAUGAUUUUAUUUCAUAAUAUUACAAUUGAAAAUAGUGUCACUCAUUCAGUAUGCUAUUUUACUAUAGUUGAAAACAUUAAAAGAAAGGCGAAAGAUACCAAAGGGACAUUCUCAGAAGUCAAAAUAUAAACCGACAACGCCAUAAUUGAAAAAAUGAAAAAAAAAGACCAAAAGACUAACAGACAAACAAUAGUAGGUCAACAUAAAACACAACAUAUAAACACGAACCCCACCCCAAAAAACUGGGUUUUAUCUUAGUUGCCG